rnacentral:misc_RNA from 1 species
ACACCUCAACUCUCGUGGUCCGCCAUGAUGAGCUUGGACUUUGGGGGUCUUGCCGGCGUAGCGUCGGCUCCUCUCAAAUGGAUCAGCUAGCCAGUGUUUGGUGGCGUCACAGGUGUGAUAACUAUCUACGCUUGUGGUUUCCCGCCAUGUAACCUUCAGCGAUGGAGGUUCGCUGGAGCUCACAGAUGUCUCUCCUCAGGGAAGACGGCUUUUUGAAC